rnacentral:rRNA from 2 species
ACGACGACGCUGGCGGCAUGCCUAAUACAUGCAAGUCGAACGAACCAUCCUGAAGAUUGAAGCUUGCUUCAUGAUUCAGACCUUGGUGAGUGGCGGACGGGUGAGUAACACGUGGGUAACCUGCCCAAAAGUGGGGGAUAACAUCUGGAAACAGGUGCUAAUACCGCAUAACAACUACUUUCUCAUGAUCGUAGCUUGAAAGAUGGCUCUGCUAUCGCUUUUGGAUGGACCCGCGGCGUAUUAGCUAGUUGGUGAGGUAAUAGCUCACCAAGGCAAUGAUACGUAGCCGACCUGAGAGGGUAAUCGGCCACAUUGGGACUGAGACACGGCCCAAACUCCUACGGGAGGCAGCAGUAGGGAAUCUUCCACAAUGGGCGAAAGCCUGAUGGAGCAAUGCCGCGUGAGUGAAGAAGGUUUUCGGAUCGUAAAACUCUGUUGUUGAAGAAGAACAUGCGUGAGAGUAACUGUUCACGUACUGACGGUAUUCAACCAGAAAGCCACGGCUAACUACGUGCCAGCAGCCGCGGUAAUACGUAGGUGGCAAGCGUUGUCCGGAUUUAUUGGGCGUAAAGAGAAUGUAGGCGGUUUAUUAAGUUUGAAGUGAAAGCCCUCGGCUCAACCGAGGAAGUGCUUCGAAAACUGGUAAACUUGAGUGCAGAAGAGGAAAGUGGAACUCCAUGUGUAGCGGUGGAAUGCGUAGAUAUAUGGAAGAACACCAGUGGCGAAGGCGGCUUUCUGGUCUGUAACUGACGCUGAGAUUCGAAAGCAUGGGUAGCAAACAGGAUUAGAUACCCUGGUAGUCCAUGCCGUAAACGAUGAGUGCUAAGUGUUGGAGGGUUUCCGCCCUUCAGUGCUGCAGCUAACGCAUUAAGCACUCCGCCUGGGGAGUACGAUCGCAAGAUUGAAACUCAAAGGAAUUGACGGGGGCCCGCACAAGCGGUGGAGCAUGUGGUUUAAUUCGAAGCAACGCGAAGAACCUUACCAGGUCUUGACAUACCAUGAAAAGCUAAGAGAUUAGUCUUUCCCUUCGGGGACAUGGAUACAGGUGGUGCAUGGUUGUCGUCAGCUCGUGUCGUGAGAUGUUGGGUUAAGUCCCGCAACGAGCGCAACCCUUAUUAUCAGUUGCCAGCAUUCAGUUGGGCACUCUGGUGAGACUGCCGGUGACAAACCGGAGGAAGGUGGGGACGACGUCAAAUCAUCAUGCCCCUUAUGACCUGGGCUACACACGUGCUACAAUGGUCGGUACAACGUGCUGCGAACUCGCGAGGGUAAGCAAAUCACUUAAAACCGAUCUCAGUUCGGAUUGUAGGCUGCAACUCGCCUACAUGAAGCUGGAAUCGCUAGUAAUCGCGGAUCAGCAUGCCGCGGUGAAUACGUUCCCGGGCCUUGUACACACCGCCCGUCACACCAUGAGAGUUUGUAACACCCAAAGUCGGUGGGGUAACCCUUCGGGGAACUAGCCGCCUAAGGUGGGACAAAUGAUUAGGGUGAAGUCGUAACAAGGUAGCCGUAGAGAUGCUUGCUUAA